rnacentral:lncRNA from 1 species
UCCCCUCUGUUCCAGCGCUGAGACGCAGGCCUUUCCUGGCGCGAAGCGACUCGCCCCGGAGCUCCCCUGCACCGUCCUGGGUGUCAGGACGCGUCAACCCAGAUGACCCGACCCGGAGAUCCUGGAUCCUCUGCCCUCUUCCCCCUACCAAGUCCUUAACCGGAGAGGGAGGAGCUACCAAUGUCCUCCAGACGUUCUCCAAAGCCCGAGCUGCCGGGAGAAGCUUGCUCAAGGCGGGUGCGCCCCUCAGACGUUUGUUUGCACGCAGGGGUUUUGACGUUUCGCUAAGCAACAGCGUUUGCCAGGGAAUCAGGGCUGUUUCGAAGAGCUUGCGUCUAUUUGAUGCUCCCAUCUUGAACAAAUCGUUUCCAUUCGAUUUGUUUAACCAAGGCGAGGGCGGACUAUGUUGUUACUUAAAAGUUAUUCUUCAUCCAAGCUGUCCUCAGAUUUUCAUCUAAGGGUGUCAUAACACCCCAGGUCGUUGCGCAAAUGUUUUGUGACAAUUUAGAAAACCAGAGGGGGGAAAUAUCCUUAGAGAAAAAAUCAUAACCAACAAGAAAAUUAUGUUAAAUGAUGUUGGUCCUUUUUCAUCGGAUGGUCCCAGUUGACACAUAGUCUUUUACAAAACCAGUGACUAUUCACAGUCUUCAAUUUAUGGCACAUCUCCCGGUGGGGGCGAAGUGCAUGAAUGGGUCCCACCUUAUUCACCAGCUGAAACUCUGAACAAGCCUUGGGGUUUCCUCUCCCAAAGACUGCCAGGCUUCACUAAGAAUCAAAACAAAACAGGAUACUAAAUGCCUGCGUGUUGUUAAUCAAACACAAGACCCAUAAAGUGAAUUUGGGGUCAUCUUGUCCUUUACUGGUUUCCUGAUUGGGAGGCUCACCCUUGGCUUAUGAUCACAUCCAUUUGGCAGAAAGUCAGCUUAUUUGACAGGGUUGGAAACAAUGCCAUGUGAGCAGAAGAGAAAUUGCUUUCAUCCCUUUUUCUACCUGAUGGUCUUAUAUUAUGAUAUGGUUUGGCUGUGCGCCCACCCAAAUCUCAUCUUGAAUUGUAGUUCCCAUAAUCCCCGUAUGUCAUGGGUGAGACCUCAUGGGAGGUAAAUAAAUUAUGGAAGUGGUUCCCCCAUGCUGUUCUCAUGAUAGUGAGUGAGUUCUCAUGAGAUCUGAAUGGUUUUA